GGGUAAUAUGUGUGCUUUAAAAAGAUCACUUUGAUAACUGAGCAAAAGAUGGAGCUGGUAAAAAAAACUUCUAAUUGGAUGACAGAACAGAGUUUUUGUGGUGGUCCAGGUAUGAGGUGAUAAGGGUGGUAUCAGGGUAAUGGUCAAAGUAGAAAAGACAUUAGAGGUUGCAUGGGACAGGGCUUGGCAACUGAUUGAUUGUGGAUGGGCAGGUGAGAAAGAAUGAGGAAUUGAAAGUCUUUGCAGACCUCAAAUCUAAAUGUAUCUGUGGUUUCUGAAGUAUCAUUUCAUCUUUACGAGGACACAAGGGACCCAAAAGUUCCACAGAAUGAAACAAUUUGUGAGACAGGGAAAUUACUGUCCUGAAUGUGAUCUAAGAAAGGAAUACAUGAGAUAGAAUCAAGGCCAGGACUUGGAAAAGAUAUGGAAAAGACCCCAGGGGAUCACCCAUAACCCAUUAUCCUGGGACUCACCCCCUAAGAAGCAGAGAAGAAAGAGACCCAGCAGGAACAGCCUCAUCAUCUUAUCCUUUGUCUGGUUUAUGGAAGCUUAUUUUACAGAUGCCCAGAAUCACACCUUUUAAUCCAGUUUGGACCAAUUCGGGAAGUGGCUGCCAUGUCUUUGAUACAUUUGUUUUAUAUUACAUUGGAACUACUUCAAUAAACUUCAAUUGACUUAAAAUAUGUGUAUAGCUUGUGUUCCUAGAUAACCAGUUCUUACUCUAUCCUUUGAAUAUCUGGACCGUAAUUAUUUUAAGAUUAGAAUUUAUCUAGAUAACUUAUAAUGCUACAUUGAUCUUAGAAAAUUUGGCAUCUGGAAGCUAUUAUGGAGGGUUCCUCAAUGAAACAAGCCUGAAGGCAUCAGCCAUUUUCUCUUUCAUCUCUUAAUUCCACCCUUAACACCUUAAAACAAAAUACAAAUAACCUCCCUCCUCCCCCCCCAAAAAAAAACAACCCAACCAAUUCUUCCUUUAUAUUUCUUGUUUACAACACUUUUCCACUUCUUUCCAUUUUAUUUUCCUAUGUUCUAUUCAAUUCUGAUCUUUUCCCCAGAAAUACUUGGAGGCCCUGUAUGUCAUUAAAGAUCCAUUCCCUCCUGAACUUUUUGUAGGACUUUAUUUUGCUGCGGAAGUUAGUCAUUUGUUUGUUUGUUUAGGCAAUUGGGAUU